GACGAACGCUGGCGGCGUGCCUAAUACAUGCAAGUAGAACGCUGAAGAGAGGAGCUUGCUCUUCUUGGAUGAGUUGCGAACGGGUGAGUAACGCGUAGGUAACCUGCCUUGUAGCGGGGGAUAACUAUUGGAAACGAUAGCUAAUACCGCAUAACAAUGGAUGACACAUGUCAUUUAUUUGAAAGGGGCAAUUGCUCCACUACAAGAUGGACCUGCGUUGUAUUAGCUAGUAGGUGAGGUAACGGCUCACCUAGGCGACGAUACAUAGCCGACCUGAGAGGGUGAUCGGCCACACUGGGACUGAGACACGGCCCAGACUCCUACGGGAGGCAGCAGUAGGGAAUCUUCGGCAAUGGGGGCAACCCUGACCGAGCAACGCCGCGUGAGUGAAGAAGGUUUUCGGAUCGUAAAGCUCUGUUGUAAGUCAAGAACGAGUGUGAGAGUGGAAAGUUCACACUGUGACGGUAGCUUACCAGAAAGGGACGGCUAACUACGUGCCAGCAGCCGCGGUAAUACGUAGGUCCCGAGCGUUGUCCGGAUUUAUUGGGCGUAAAGCGAGCGCAGGCGGUUUGAUAAGUCUGAAGUUAAAGGCUGUGGCUCAACCAUAGUUCGCUUUGGAAACUGUCAAACUUGAGUGCAGAAGGGGAGAGUGGAAUUCCAUGUGUAGCGGUGAAAUGCGUAGAUAUAUGGAGGAACACCGGUGGCGAAAGCGGCUCUCUGGUCUGUAACUGACGCUGAGGCUCGAAAGCGUGGGGAGCGAACAGGAUUAGAUACCCUGGUAGUCCACGCCGUAGACGAUGAGUGCUAGGUGUUGGAUCCUUUCCGGGAUUCAGUGCCGCAGCUAACGCAUUAAGCACUCCGCCUGGGGAGUACGACCGCAAGGUUGAAACUCAAAGGAAUUGACGGGGGCCCGCACAAGCGGUGGAGCAUGUGGUUUAAUUCGAAGCAACGCGAAGAACCUUACCAGGUCUUGACAUCCCGAUGCUAUUUCUAGAGAUAGAAAGUUACUUCGGUACAUCGGUGACAGGUGGUGCAUGGUUGUCGUCAGCUCGUGUCGUGAGAUGUUGGGUUAAGUCCCGCAACGAGCGCAACCCCUAUUGUUAGUUGCCAUCAUUCAGUUGGGCACUCUAGCGAGACUGCCGGUAAUAAACCGGAGGAAGGUGGGGAUGACGUCAAAUCAUCAUGCCCCUUAUGACCUGGGCUACACACGUGCUACAAUGGUUGGUACAACGAGUUGCGAGUCGGUGACGGCAAGCUAAUCUCUUAAAGCCAAUCUCAGUUCGGAUUGUAGGCUGCAACUCGCCUACAUGAAGUCGGAAUCGCUAGUAAUCGCGGAUCAGCACGCCGCGGUGAAUACGUUCCCGGGCCU
rnacentral:rRNA from 1 species